rnacentral:tRNA from 1 species
GCGCCGUUAGCUCAGUUGGUAGAGCAGCUGACUCUUAAUCAGCGGGUCCGGGUUUCGAGCCCCUGACGGCGCAC